rnacentral:rRNA from 1 species
UACGGAGGGUGCAAGCGUUAUCCGGAUUCACUGGGUUUAAAGGGUGCGUAGGAGGGCAGGUAAGUCCGUGGUGAAAUCUCUGAGCUUAACUCAGAAACUGCCGUGGAUACUACCGGUCUUGAAUAUCGUGGAGGUGAGCGGAAUAUGUCAUGUAGCGGUGAAAUGCUUAGAUAUGACAUAGAACACCAAUUGCGAAGGCAGCUGACUACAGGGGCAUUGACACUGAGGCACGAAAGCGUGGGGAUCAAACAGG